GGAGAUGCUCUGAAGUGAUCCUCCCGCUCAGCUCUCACGGAAACCAGGCACCAACACCAGAACCGCGCCGAGGCUGUCCUGCAAGCGUUAGUGGUAUCGCCUCACGGCUGGGGCUGGAGCCUCCUUCCGAGACCAUGCCACACCAGCAAUUCUAGAGAACAACUGGAAGCACUGUGUCACCCCAGACCACAGGCGAAGCAGGGCUCCCCUUCUAGGGUUUAGUGGGCGCAAACAUCUCCCUCAGCACCUGAGCAGUCCUGGAAAGGCUGUGAAGGG